rnacentral:rRNA from 1 species
AGAUUGAACGCUGGCGGCAUGCUUUUACACAUGCAAGUCGAACGGGCAGCACGGGGGGCAACCCUGGUGGCGAGUGGGCGAACGGGUGAGUAAUGCAUCGGAACGUAUCCUUGAGUGGGGGAUACGCAGCGAAAGUUGUGCUAAUACCGCAAUAAGGCUCUGAGGAGGAAAGCGGGGGACCGAAAGGCCUCGCGCUGAAGGAGC